rnacentral:lncRNA from 1 species
ACACUUGAAGAAAUUUAUUGUUUCGUUGAGCAUUAUUACAGAUCAGCAUUGUCAAGAACCAAUGGUGUUCCCUGAAGAAAGAAUACAACAUGGGACACAGGACUCUCAGAAAGAUUUCUUCAUUUCAGUAAUUGGCACAUCUUUGAAGCAGCUGUCCAGUGGUUCUUGGAGCCUCACUGCUAAACCGUCAGUAAGAAAAAUACUGACUCUGCAAAACCAAAUACAUCUGGAAUCCGAAUCCUCUUGCAAAACUCUGAGCAGUGAUAUCCAACCUUUCUGGCACCCAGAGACCACCGGACCUCCUUUUCUACAAUCAAGCCAAACCAGUUCCUGUUGUUGGUGCCAAGAUAGACUACAGCUGGAAAUUCCCCAAAUGACCAACAGAUCACCUGGUGCCAACUGACUGACCACCAGGAAGAGCGACUAUUGACUUUGGGCUUAAAAGUCAUCUAAUCCACACUGUUUCUCACUCCCCUGACUACCCUCCUCUGCCCUGAGGUUUUUUUGCCUUUAUAAUCUCCUAUUCACUGACCCUGCCUGAGAGCAUGAUUUCUUUUUACACCAGGGGCUGCAUCUCCCCAAUCUGCAAAUUGUUUCUUAUGGAAAAUGAAGCUUUCUCUUUUCCUUCCACAGAUCUCAUGGUCUUUUGUUACAAGGAACCUGUCUCAAGACAGUCAUACUCUGUUAAUUCACUAUAACACUAAGAACCUCAAUGGAGUUCAGGUCUAUGAGAAUGAUUCAUUCAUAACAUCUAUCACCUUAAAAUUUAUUGACUAGGGCCUAAGGCACAACUGCCUUGCCCUGGGCUGAAUUCUACCCUAGGGCAGAGUUUUCGGUGGCCUCGGUGUACUCUUAGUAGUAUUUCUACUAAAAAGCCAACAUAGAGGGCAUAGACUCCAAGCCUUAGAGACUCAAACAAGAAACAACAUUUGACCAUUCCAUGCCCUCCAAAUCUAUUGGAUGCCACCAAACAAAGGCAAAAAAAAAAGCAGAUUUCAUAACACGAAAAACAAUAUAUUCUCUAUCUUUCAGCAUUGUGAGGGAAGGUGUCUGGUCUGGAAUCAUUUCUCAGUAUAAUGCACACCCCAAAGCAGCUUAACACAGCGGUAAGCCUAGAUGAAAGCAUUCAUGUCAAUUACAUGGAAAUGUUCUUUCACCAAGAUUGAGAAGCCACACUUGGGACAUUCAGUCCUCUAGACAAAAUGUAUUUGAAAUGGAAACUGAGAAAGCAAAGAGAAGCAUUUGUUCCUUUCCAGGUGAGAGGCAAGAGAAAGUCUUGUGUAAGAUAGCUGCUAGAAAUCCAGGCUGUUCUCUUCAGAACUCUCGUUCUCAGAUUUGCUAGGGUCUUUCCUUUGGUAGAAAGAGCUGAUUGCACUUCUAAAGGCAGCUUGACCUUUGCCCCAUCCCACUAGCUGAAUGAAACCAAGAAAGACUGCUUGAAUGCUUACACCCCUAAAGCGGAUUUGUAUUUAUAAAGUAGCCAAAGCUGUACUUGGCAAUGAUUUCACAAACAGAGAGACAAAUUCACAGGAGUGAGAAUAACUCUCUCACAAACUUUACCAUACUUUACACUUUGUUGGGAAGUCAGCAGAGAACUUCACACUUCAUUGAAAAUCCAUUAAACAAUUACCAGGUCAUUAGCACAGACUUUGAAGUACUAGCUUUCAAACUCCCUUACUAAAGAAAGCUCUUUGCUAGACCUUCAGCUGCCUUUGCAAGUGUAGUCCUAAGGAGCUUUAACAGAUAACCAAAACAGACAAACAUUAAAAAAAAAAAAAAAAGUGUACUCACUGAAAAAUAAAACAAAGCAUCAUGCAUGAAUCAUUUAAUGAAUCAAUUAUAUAACAGUAUAUGUUACAUAAUACUGUCAUAUGUAUUACUGUCUCUCAAUUGUAUCUGGAUAAGUAAAGUAGAUAAUCCGUAAAUGUUGGUUGAUUCAGGAAUAUGUUUCCCUAGACAAUCACAAACAACUACUGAGUGACUACCAAGGCUUUACUGCUUUUGUGCCAACCACCCUCAUUUGUAUCUCUAGCCCAGAUCUCUUCCUUGAACACCAAACUAGCAUUUUCUACUAUUCACUUGGCAUCUCAUCUGGAUGUCUACUAAACCUCUCAAACACAAUAUGCUCAAAACUGAACUCUUGAUCUUUACCGAAACCUGCUCUCCACCUCAGGUACUGGCAAUUCCAUUCUUCCAAUAGCUGAAAUCAGUGUUUUUUUUUUCUUUUCGUCUUUACUGAAGUAUAAAAGACAGAUGAUAAACUGCAC